UGCUAACGUCCGUCGUGGAGAGGGAAACAACCCAGACCGCCAGCUAAGGUCCCAAAUUACUACUAAGUGGGAAACGAUGUGGGAAGGCUCAGACAGCCAGGAUGUUGGCUUAGAAGCAGCCAUCAUUAAAGAAAGCGUAAUAGCUCACUGGUCGAGUCGGCCUGCGCGGAAGAUGUAACGGGGCUAAGUAGUAAACCGAAGCUGCGGCAAUAUACUUUUGUAUAUUGGGUAGGGGAGCGUUCUGUAAGCGGUUGAAGGUGUGUGGUAACGCAUGCUGGACGUAUCAGAAGUGCGAAUGCUGACAUGAGUAACGAUAAAGGGGGUGAAAAACCUCCUCGCCGGAAGACCAAGGGUUCCUGUCCAACGUUAAUCGGGGCAGGGUAAGUCGACCCCUAAGGCGAGGCCGAAAGGCGUAGUCGAUGGGAAACGGGUUAAUAUUCCCGUACUUCUUACAAUUGCGAUGGGGGGGACGGAGAAGGCUAGGUGGGCCUGGCGACGGUUGUCCAGGUUCAAGUGCGUAGGCUUAAGAGUUAGGUAAAUCCGGCUCUUUUUAAGGCUGAGACACGACGUCGAGCCACUACGGUGGUGAA
rnacentral:rRNA from 1 species